rnacentral:rRNA from 1 species
UAGGGAAUCUUCCACAAUGGACGCAAGUCUGAUGGAGCAACGCCGCGUGAGUGAAGAAGGCUUUCGGGUCGUAAAACUCUGUUAUUGAAGAAGAACGUGUGUGACAGUAACUGGUCAUGCAGUGACGGUAUUCAAUCAGAAAGUCACGGCUAACUACGUGCCAGCAGCCGCGGUAAUACGUAGGUGGCAAGCGUUGUCCGGAUUUAUUGGGCGUAAAGCGAGUGCAGGCGGUCUUUUAAGUCUGAUGUGAAAGCCUUCGGCUUAACCGAAGAAGGGCAUCGGAAACUGGGAGACUUGAGUGCAGAAGAGGAGAGUGGAACUCCAUGUGUAGCGGUGAAAUGCGUAGAUAUAUGGAAGAACACCAGUGGCGAAGGCGGCUCUCUGGUCUGUAACUGACGCUGAGGCUCGAAAGCGUGGGGUAGCAAACAGGAUUAGAU